AGUAACGCGUGGGAACGUGCCCUUCUCUAAGGAAUAGCCACUGGAAACGGUGAGUAAUACCUUAUACGCCCUUCGGGGAAAGAUUUAUCGGAGAAGGAUCGGCCCGCGUUAGAUUAGAUAGUUGGUGGGGUAACGGCCUACCAAGUCUACGAUCUAUAGCUGGUUUUAGAGGAUGAUCAGCAACACUGGGACUGAGACACGGCCCAGACUCCUACGGGAGGCAGCAGUGGGGAAUCUGGACAAUGGGCGCAAGCCUGAUCCAGCCAUGCCGCGUGAGUGAUGAAGGCCUAGGGUCGUAAAGCUCUUUCCCUGUGAUGAUAAUGACAGUAGCAGGUAAAGAAACCCCGGCUAACUCCGUGCCAGCAGCCGCGGUAAUACGGAGGGGGUUAGCGUUGUUCGGAAUUACUGGGCGUAAAGCGCGCGUAGGCGGAUUGGAAAGUUGGGGUGAAAUCCCGGGGCUCAACCCCGGAACUGCCUCCAAAACUCCCAGUCUUGAGUUCGAGAGAGGUGAGUGGAAUUCCGAGUGUAGAGGUGAAAUUCGUAGAUAUUCGGAGGAACACCAGUGGCGAAGGCGGCUCACUGCUCGAUACUGACGCUGAGGUGCGAAAGUGUGGGGAGCAAACAGGAUUAGAUAC
rnacentral:rRNA from 1 species